UGGGGAAUAUUGGACAAUGGGCGCAAGCCUGAUCCAGCCAUGCCGCGUGAGUGAUGAAGGCCCUAGGGUUGUAAAGCUCUUUCACCGGUGAAGAUAAUGACGGUAACCGGAGAAGAAGCCCCGGCUAACUUCGUGCCAGCAGCCGCGGUAAUACGAAGGGGGCUAGCGUUGUUCGGAUUUACUGGGCGUAAAGCGCACGUAGGUGGACUAUUAAGUCAGGGGUGAAAUCCCGGGGCUCAACCCCGGAACUGCCUUUGAUACUGGUAGUCUUGAGUUCGAGAGAGGUGAGUGGAAUUCCGAGUGUAGAGGUGAAAUUCGUAGAUAUUCGGAGGAACACCAGUGGCGAAGGCGGCUCACUGGCUCGAUACUGACGCUGAGGUGCGAAAGCGUGGGGAGCAAACAGG
rnacentral:rRNA from 1 species